rnacentral:rRNA from 1 species
UAGGGAAUCUUCGGCAAUGGACGAAAGUCUGACCGAGCAACGCCGCGUGAGUGAAGAAGGUUUUCGGAUCGUAAAACUCUGUUGUUAGAGAAGAACAAGGACGUUAGUAACUGAACGUCACCUGACGGUAUCUAACCAGAAAGCCACGGCUAACUACGUGCCAGCAGCCGCGGUAAUACGUAGGUGGCAAGCGUUGUCCGGAUUUAUUGGGCGUAAAGCGAGCGCAGGCGGUUUCUUAAGUCUGAUGUGAAAGCCCCCGGCUCAACCGGGGAGGGUCAUUUGAAACUGGGAGACUUGAGUGCAGAAGAGGAGAGUGGAAUUCCAUGUGUAGCGGUGAAAUGCGUAGCUAUAUGGAGGUACACCAGUGGCGAAGGCGGCUCGCUGGUCUGUAACUGACGCUGAGGCUCGAAAGCGUGGGGAGCAAACAGG